AUGGCCUUCGCGCCCGCCACCAGCACAGCCACCUCGAUCGCAGCAGCAAUGGCGCUCAGGCCGCAAUACGCCACGCUCUCCGGCGCGAGGAGCCAGACGAUGAGCCGCGCCGCGCGGUGCAGAGCGGCCGCGGCCUUGACGGCGGAGGGCUGCGCCUCGACGUCGGCGAUCGCGGCCGAGCCGGUGGCGACGGCGAGACGCGGCGCGCGGAGGACGUCGUCCGUCGCGGGCAUGUGGCGGCAGCUGCAGGGGUGCGACGACUGGGAGGGGCUGCUCGGCCUCGACGGCCCGGCGCCGGUGCUGCGGAGCGAGGUGGCGCGGUACGGCGAGCUGGUGGACGCCUGCUACAAGGCAUUCGACCUCGACCGGGCCUCGCGCCGGUACCUCAACUGCAAGUACGGCAAGGAGCGCAUGCUGGAGGAGGUUGGCAUGGCCGGCGCCGGCUACGAGGUGACCAAGUACAUCUACGCGGCGCCCGACGUGAUGACCGUGCCCACCAUGGAGGCCUCCACCAGCGGGCGCGGCCGGUGGAUCGGCUACGUGGCGGUGUCCACUGACGAGAUGACCCGGCGGCUCGGGCGGCGGGACGUGCUCGUCUCGUUCCGCGGCACCGUCACCCCCGCCGAGUGGAUGGCCAACUUCAUGAGCUCCCUCGAGCCGGCGCGGCUCGACCCCUGCGACCCGCGCCCGGACGUCAUGGUCGAGUCCGGCUUCCUGAGCCUCUACACCUCCGCCGACAAGACGUGCCGCUUCGGCGGCGCCGGCAGCUGCCGGGAGCAGCUCUUGCGCGAGGUCUCCCGCCUCGUGGACGCGCACUCCGCCAAGAAGGGCGAGGAUGUGAGCGUGACCCUCGCCGGCCACAGCAUGGGCAGCGCCCUCGCGCUGCUCCUGGCCUACGACCUGGCGGAGCUGGGCCUGAACCGCGCCGCGCCCGUGACCGUCUUCUCCUUCGGCGGGCCUCGGGUGGGCAACGCGGCCUUCAAGGCGCGGUGCGACGAGCUGGGCGUGAAGGCGCUCCGCGUGGCCAACGUCCACGACCCGAUCACCAAGCUCCCCGGCAUCCUCCUGAACGAGGCCACCACGGGGGUGCUCCGGCCGUGGCGCGCGUCCUGCUACACGCACGUCGGCGUGGAGCUCCCGCUCGACUACUUCAGCGCCCGCGACCCUGCCGCCGUGCACGACCUGGGCACCUACAUCGCAUUGCUCAAGAAGCCGGCGGCGGCCGCCAAGGCAGCAGGCGACGGCGGCGGCGUGGUCGGCAAGGUGAUCGACUUCGUGGGGCGGCAGCGCGCCGGCGCAUUGCAGUGGCAGUACGCGGCUCUGCAGAUGGGCGGCCUCGUCCAGACCCUGGGGCUGAUCUGA
rnacentral:rRNA from 1 species